UGACUUUGUUACUGCAGCCUUUGGCUUCUGUUGAAUAUCUCUAUAGACACUGCAUUAGAAGGUCUUGUUCCAGCUUGGUGAGCCAUGGACAAAAGUGUGCUGGUGCUCCUCUUGUAUAUGCAGGCCUUCCUGCUCAUCACUGCGGUGAAUUCAGUUGAUGACGCCAUCGGUUCGGUGGACAAUCAGCAACUUGUUCAGGGAACAGCUAAUGCAACAAAACCAGACAAAACAUCCUUUCUCCUGUGGCUUGUGAGAAACGGCGCAGAUUCAAGUUUAAAGGGCCCAACAAAGAAGUGAGGAACGACUUGACAAAAUACAAGAAAAAUGGCUCCUGCUUUUUCUACUCUGCUGUCUGAAGCUUUCAAUGGUGAUGCUGCCAUGGAAUGGAAGAAUGGAUGUGCUAUAAAAUGUGCUAUCCAAUAAAAUGUAAUUACAUGUGUGAUGCACUGCUCAUUAAACAUGU